AAACAUGUCGGGAGGGCACUUUCUGAGAAUAACCUUGUAUCUCUCCCAAGCUUCAUAGAGAAAUUCACCCUCUUAUUGCCUAAAUUUCUAAACAUCAGUUCUUAGCUU